UACAUAGGGUGCAAGCGUUGUCCGGAAUUAUUGGGCGUAAAGAGCUCGUAGGCGGUUUGUUGCGUCGGCUGUGAAAUCCCGAGGCUCAACCUCGGGUCUGCAGUCGAUACGAGCAAACUAGAGUGUUGCAGGGGAGACUGGAAUUCCUGGUGUAGCGGUGAAAUGCGCAGAUAUCAGGAGGAACACCGGUGGCGAAGGCGGGUCUCUGGGCAACAACUGACGCUGAGGCACGAAAGCGUGGGGAGCAAACAGG
rnacentral:rRNA from 1 species